rnacentral:rRNA from 1 species
UACGUAGGUCCCGAGCGUUAUCCGGAUUUAUUGGGCGUAAAGCGAGCGCAGGCGGUUAGAUAAGUCUGAAGUGAAAGGCUGUGGCUUAACCCAAGUAUGCAUUGGAAACUGCUUCACUUGAGUGCAGAAGGGGAGAGUGGAAUUCCAUGUGUAGCGGUGAAAUGCGUAGAUAUAUGGAGGAACACCGGUGGCGAAAGCGGCUCUCUGGUCUGUAACUGACGCUGAGGCUCGAAAGCGUGGGGAGCAAACAGG